UACGGAGGGUGCAAGCGUUAUCCGGAUUCACUGGGUUUAAAGGGUGCGUAGGAGGGCAGGUAAGUCAGUGGUGAAAUCUCCGAGCUUAACUUGGAAACUGCCGUUGAUACUAUCAUUCUUGAAUAUUGUGGAGGUCAGCGGAAUAUGUCAUGUAGCGGUGAAAUGCUUAGAUAUGACAUAGAACACCAAUUGCGAAGGCAGCUGGCUACACAUAUAUUGACACUGAGGCACGAAAGCGUGGGGAUCAAACAGG
rnacentral:rRNA from 1 species